UACAAUGGGAUUAACAAUGAAAACAUUCAGU
rnacentral:piRNA from 1 species